rnacentral:rRNA from 1 species
GAUGAACGCUGGCGGCGUGCUUAACACAUGCAAGUCGAACGGAAAGGCCGAAGCUUGCUUCGGUACUCGAGUGGCGAACGGGUGAGUAACACGUGGGUGAUCUGCCCUGUACUUCGGGAUAAGCUUGGGAAACUGGGUCUAAUACCGGAUAUGACGAUCUCUUGGAUGGGGUUGUGGAAAGCUUUUGCGGUAUGGGAUGAGCUCGCGGCCUAUCAGCUUGUUGGUGGGGUAAUGGCCUACCAAGGCGUCGACGGGUAGCCGGCCUGAGAGGGUGUACGGCCACAGUGGGACUGAGAUACGGCCCAGACUCCUACGGGAGGCAGCAGUGGGGAAUAUUGCACAAUGGGCGCAAGCCUGAUGCAGCGACGCCGCGUGGGGGAUGACGGCCUUCGGGUUGUAAACUCCUGUCGCAAUCGACGAAGCCUUUUGGUGACGGUAGGUUGAGAAGAAGCACCGGCUAACUACGUG